CCAGAGGGCCCCUCCUGCCCGCCACGUUUCCUUCCUGCUGGGGGGCUUCUGUUCUCCCAGACCGGGUCGGUGCUCUUUUCCCCCGGCGCCCCUCCCCCACCCAGCCCGGGCCUUGCCUGCCGCAGCCACCUUCUUCUCUGAUGCUGUGUCCUGGACUUGGUGACAAUGGCAAAUUGACAAGAAGGCGAGCCUGGGCCUUUCCUGCGGCGACAUCCAGCUUCCCCCGCCCCUCCCUGGGUGGGUGCCCACCACACGCCCAGCCUGCCGCGUGCUUAUCCAGGCCCUCCAGGCCAGGCCUCCGGGUCUUAUGGAAGAAGGCCCCGUGUCUGGGCAGUGCCGUGGCUGUGAGUGAGCAUCCGGGGCCAGUCAGAUGUGCCGUCUCCGGAGGUCACUUCCAUAGUGGCCAUCAACAGCUUGGCCAAACUCGGCCGCAGGAUCUUUUCCUAUCAAUUGCAGGAUGGACUCUUCCCGCAGCCAUGCGACCUGUGGCCCGCGGUCCUGCUCCCUGAGCUGGAGGAGGCUGAACAGAAUGAGCAGGUUGAGGCCUGUGGGAAGGAAGAGCCACAUCUCCUUCAUGUUUAUUACCCCCUCCGCAGGCCAUAGCUAGGAGGCCUUGAAGGUUUUUUUAAGGGGGAAAGGGGGUUUCCAGAACCACAGCCGGCUCAGCAGAAAGUCUCCACCAACAGAAUCUGUGGGCGCACAUUCCUCAACAGCUGAAGAAGGGGCUGGAGGGGCUCAUGGCAUCCCCUCCAGAGGCAGGCCCAGGGCCCUGUGUGCAGUGGGGGGUCCUGCAUCUGCAUUGUUGUUAAGAAAGUGACAUUUGGCUACAUGGAGUGACUCAUGCCUGUAAUCCCAGCACUUUGGGAGGCUGAAGCUGUCAGAUUGCUUGGGCCCAGGAGUUCGAGAUCAGCCUGGGCAACUUGGUGAAACCUCAUUUCUUUUUUUUUGAGACAGGGUCUCACUCUGUAGCCAAGACUGGAGUGCAGUGGCACAAUCUCGGCUCACCGCAACCUCCACUUCCCAGGCUCAAGUGAUUCUCCUGACUCAGCCUCCCGAGUAGCUGGGAUUACAGGUGUGCACCACCACGCCUGACUAAUUUUUGUAUUGUUAGUAGAGACGGGGUUUCACCAUGUUGGCCAGGUUGGUGUUGAACUCCUGACUUCAAAUGAUCCACCUGCCUUGGCCUCCCAAAGUGCUGGGAUUACAGGCCUGAGCCACUGCGCCCGGACUUUUUUUUUUUUUUGAGAUGGAGUUUCGCUCUGUCACCCAGGCUGGAGUGUGGUGGCAUGAUCUCGGCUCACUGCAACCUCCACCUCCCAGGGUCAAGUGAUUCUCCUGGGUCAGCCUCCGGAGUAGCUGGGAUUACAGGGCCUCGAGGGCGAGACUUCGGCUCACAGCUGUAUCCCAGGGCCUAGAACUGUGUCUGACAUAUACCAGUUUUUCUUCCCAGGGUCUCCCCAAGAGCUGCUUCCUUUGACUCCUGCUGUGUGUAGUUCUGCUGACAAUGACCUGGACAGCUCUGCGCCAUGCACAGCGUCUCUUUUCUCCGACUUACCAAAUUUUAGACACUACUGACUCCUCCAUGUGAAAGAUGGGAAUUCAGCUACAUCACAUUACCCUACAAACUUUAUUGUUAAUAUUUCUUCCCGGUCAGCCCCAAACACUGAAUGUAAAUACGGUCCAACAUCAACCUGCAAACGAACACUGACAUGAAAGUGCAGUUGGAAAGGAUCUCGCAAAGGAACAGAAUCUGGUGAUCCUAAUCGUAAUGAACGUGAUCGCCGGGUAUUGAGAGCUUGCAGGUACCAGGGCUCCGGCACUACGUGUUUCACAGGGGCCACUCGGUAGACCUCUUGGUGACCUUGAGGUCAGGUACCACGUUCCCAUUUUACAGAGGAGGAAACUGAGAUAACCUACGACAGCGAAAAGGUAGCAGAGCUGGGACUGGUGCCCAGGCUCGCCGAGUGGAAAAGCCCUCGGCCACCGUGGAGAGCUCGCUUCCUGUGGUCUGAAGCGUCGCCCCUGCACCGGCUUCUGCUGCCAAGGAUGGCUUUUCCUCACUGGUGCCCACCUACGCUCACUUGUGUCAUGUGGUUAAGCCCUUUUGGCAACAUAAGACCUUUCCCAAGAAUGUGCCUCGGUGCAGAGGAAGACGGUGGGGGCAGGCCCCCUCCCCGGGAUGCUCCACCCUCCCUGACCUCACACGGGUGCAACCUGGGCCGUGGCCGAGACCUGCUGUGUGGCAGACAAUGGGAAGCCUGUGUGUCGUCCUGGGUGCCGGAUUUAGACAAUAUUUAGCUUUCCCUUGGUGGAAAAGCCUUUCCCCUCCUGCUUUGGGCAGGAACUGGUUCCUGUUGGGCGGGGCCUGGCUGCUGCCCCACCCCCACCCGGCCGGGCACCUUGACCGGCAGCUCUCCGGGCUGCUCCCUGCCUGUGUCCCUGAGCACUGACUCCAGAGGUUUAAUCAUUAACGGGCACGUUUGGCCUUCGGUCGUGGGCUGGAAUUUGGGACCUGUGCCCGGGAACAAUGAUCUCCGACACAUUAUUUUGUGUAAAAUCACUUUUAGCUGCCAUUAGCUAAUAAAGCUGGAAUAAAGUGAGGUCCAU
rnacentral:lncRNA from 1 species